AGAGUUUGAUCCUGGCUCAGAUUGAACGCUGGCGGCAUGCCUUACACAUGCAAGUCGAACGGCAGCACGGGAGCAAUCCUGGUGGCGAGUGGCGAACGGGUGAGUAAUAUAUCGGAACGUGCCCAGUCGUGGGGGAUAACGCAGCGAAAGCUGUGCUAAUACCGCAUACAAUCUCUGGAUGAAAGCGGGGGACUCGCAAGAGCCUCGCGCGAUUGGAGCGGCCGAUAUCAGAUUAGCUAGUUGGUGGGGUAAAGGCCCACCAAGGCGACGAUCUGUAGCUGGUCUGAGAGGACGACCAGCCACACUGGAACUGAGACACGGUCCAGACUCCUACGGGAGGCAGCAGUGGGGAAUUUUGGACAAUGGGCGCAAGCCUGAUCCAGCAAUGCCGCGUGCAGGAUGAAGGCCUUCGGGUUGUAAACUGCUUUUGUACGGAACGAAAAGGUCUGCCUUAAUACGGUGGGCCCAUGACGGUACCGUAAGAAUAAGCACCGGCUAACUACGUGCCAGCAGCCGCGGUAAUACGUAGGGUGCGAGCGUUAAUCGGAAUUACUGGGCGUAAAGCGUGCGCAGGCGGUUAUAUAAG
rnacentral:rRNA from 1 species